AAUAAAUCAGGUCAUACUUUUCACAACUUUUUCUUUUUUUCUUUCUAUUUUCCACGAAUUUUUUUCUUUCUUCUUUUUUUUUUCUUUUCUAACCCAUGCCUCAUUUAAGACUUUGGCCCCAACACAUAAAAAUCACUUCCCCCACACUUGUUUUCUGCACUACAUUGAUCAAAAGGAAUUCAAUUGAGUCAUGCUUAACUACGCUUUAAGAACAAGGGUAUGGAUAUUCCUAAUCUAGGCUAGGUAAGGAUAAUGUGGGUUAACAAACAACAUAGGCUAACAAGGCUCAACGGGGUUAAACCUACAAAAACAAAUGCAUGGAAUGAAGGCUUUUUUGGCUAUGGUGGUAACUACUAAACAACUUCAUCUUGAAUAUGUGUUAUGCAAUUCAAUAACAUGUUUUGAAUGAAAUUGGCAUGAGUUCUAGUGCAUUUGGAACUAAAUGAUGAAACGCCUUCUAAGUAGUAGCAACCAAGCAAAGAAUAAUGAGAUCAUGCAACGACUUUAGAAAACAAAGAAUGCACAGAUUUUAACUCUCCAAAUAAACGUUUAGGCUCAAGUCUCACAAGGUUGUAGCGUUAAUUUGAGUUCCUUCCUUCAAGCAUGUUACAAAAACUGAUUUUUUUUCUUUAUGAUUACAUGUGAAUUCAUAAGUUAUAACCACAACCAAGCAUAAACCAAAGAGUAAAUCAAAACUUUCAUCCAUGUUUAUAACUCUCUUUAACAGUCAUGCAAUUAAAAACCAGAAUCCUCAUCAUUGUGUUGGAAGGUACCCUA
rnacentral:lncRNA from 1 species